rnacentral:tRNA from 1 species
GCCUCCAUAGCUCAGUUGGUAGAGCAGCUCGCUCUUAACGAGACGGUCGUAGGUUCGAAUCCUACUGGGGGCACCA